rnacentral:rRNA from 1 species
CUACGGGAUGCAGCAGUGGGGAAUAUUGCACAAUGGGCGCAAGCCUGAUGCAGCCAUGCCGCGUGUAUGAAGAAGGCCCUCGGGUUGUAAAGUACUUUCAGCGGGGAGGAAGGGAGUAAAGUUAAUACCUUUGCUCAUUGACGUUACCCGCAGAAGAAGCACCGGCGAACUCCGUGCCAGCAGCCGCGGUAAUACGGAGGGUGCAAGCGUUAAUCGGAAUUACUGGGCGUAAAGCGCACGCAGGCGGUUUGUUAAGUCAGAUGUGAAAUCCCCGGGCUCAACCUGGGAACUGCAUCUGAUACUGGCAAGCUUGAGUCUCGUAGAGGGGGGUAGAAUUCCAGGUGUAGCGGUGAAAUGCGUAGAGAUCUGGAGGAAUACCGGUGGCGAAGGCGGCCCCCUGGACGAAGACUGACGCUCAGGUGCGAAAGCGUGGGGAGCAAACAGGAUUAGAUACCCGUGUAGUC